UAACCCUAUAUUCCCAAAGCCCUACAUUCCCAUAACCCUAUAUUCCCAUAACUCUAUAUUCCCAAAGCCCUA